AUGAACGCUAGCUACAGGCUUAACACAUGCAAGUCGAGGGGCAGCAUGAACUUAGCUUGCUAAGUUUGAUGGCGACCGGCGCACGGGUGAGUAACACGUAUCCAACCUGCCGAUGACUCGGGGAUAGCCUUUCGAAAGAAAGAUUAAUACCCGAUGGCAUAGUUCUUUCGCAUGGUGGAACUAUUAAAGAAUUUCGGUCAUCGAUGGGGAUGCGUUCCAUUAGGUUGUUGGCGGGGUAACGGCCCACCAAGCCUUCGAUGGAUAGGGGUUCUGAGAGGAAGGUCCCCCACAUUGGAACUGAGACACGGUCCAAACUCCUACGGGAGGCAGCAGUGAGGAAUAUUGGUCAAUGGACGAGAGUCUGAACCAGCCAAGUAGCGUGAAGGAUGACUGCCCUAUGGGUUGUAAACUUCUUUUAUACGGGAAUAAAGUGAGGCACGUGUGCCUUUUUGUAUGUACCGUAUGAAUAAGGAUCGGCUAACUCCGUGCCAGCAGCCGCGGUAAUACGGAGGAUCCGAGCGUUAUCCGGAUUUAUUGGGUUUAAAGGGAGCGUAGGCGGACGCUUAAGUCAGUUGUGAAAGUUUGCGGCUCAACCGUAAAAUUGCAGUUGAUACUGGGUGUCUUGAGUACAGUAGAGGCAGGCGGAAUUCGUGGUGUAGCGGUGAAAUGCUUAGAUAUCACGAAGAACUCCGAUUGCGAAGGCAGCUUGCUGGACUGUAACUGACGCUGAUGCUCGAAAGUGUGGGUAUCAAACAGGAUUAGAUACCCUGGUAGUCCACACAGUAAACGAUGAAUACUCGCUGUUUGCGAUAUACAGUAAGCGGCCAAGCGAAAGCGUUAAGUAUUCCACCUGGGGAGUACGCCGGCAACGGUGAAACUCAAAGGAAUUGACGGGGGCCCGCACAAGCGGUGGAGCAUGUGGUUUAAUUCGAAGCAACGCGAAGAACCUUACCAGGUCUUGACAUCGAUCUAAAGGCUCCAGAGAUGGAGAGAUAGCUAUAGAGAAGACAGGUGGUGCAUGGUUGUCGUCAGCUCGUGUCGUGAGGUGUCGGCUUAAGUGCCAUAACGAGCGCAACCCUUAUCGAUAGUUACCAUCAGGUGAUGCUGGGGACUCUGUCGAGACUGCCGUCGUAAGAUGUGAGGAAGGUGGGGAUGACGUCAAAUCAGCACGGCCCUUACGUCCGGGGCUACACACGUGUUACAAUGGGGGGUACAGAAGGCAGCUACACGGCGACGUGAUGCUAAUCCCUAAAGCCUCUCUCAGUUCGGAUUGGAGUCUGCAACCCGACUCCAUGAAGCUGGAUUCGCUAGUAAUCGCGCAUCAGCCACGGCGCGGUGAAUACGUUCCCGGGCCUUGUACACACCGCCCGUCAAGCCAUGAAAGCCGGGGGUACCUGAAGUGCGUAACCGCAAGGAGCGCCCUAGGGUAAAACUGGUGAUUGGGGCU
rnacentral:rRNA from 1 species